AGAGUUUGAUCCUGGCUCAGAUUGAACGCUGGCGGAAUGCUUUACACAUGCAAGUCGAACGGUAGAGGGGGCAACCCCUUGAGAGUGGCGAACGGGUGAGUAAUAUAUCGGAACGUGCCCAGUCGUGGGGGAUAACGUAGCGAAAGUUACGCUAAUACCGCAUACGAUCUAUGGAUGAAAGCGGGGGACCGUAAGGCCUCGCGCGAUUGGAGCGGCCGAUAUCAGAUUAGGUAGUUGGUGGGGUAAAGGCUCACCAAGCCAACGAUCUGUAGCUGGUCUGAGAGGACGACCAGCCACACUGGAACUGAGACACGGUCCAGACUCCUACGGGAGGCAGCAGUGGGGAAUUUUGGACAAUGGACGCAAGUCUGAUCCAGCCAUUCCGCGUGCAGGAUGAAGGCCCUCGGGUUGUAAACUGCUUUUGUACGGAACGAAAAGGUCUCUAUUAAUACUAGGGGCUCAUGACGGUACCGUAAGAAUAAGCACCGGCUAACUACGUGCCAGCAGCCGCGGUAAUACGUAGGGUGCAAGCGUUAAUCGGAAUUACUGGGCGUAAAGCGUGCGCAGGCGGUUAUGUAAGACAGAGGUGAAAUCCCCGGGCUCAACCUGGGAACUGCCUUUGUGACUGCAUAGCUAGAGUACGGUAGAGGGGGAUGGAAUUCCGCGUGUAGCAGUGAAAUGCGUAGAUAUGCGGAGGAACACCGAUGGCGAAGGCAAUCCCCUGGACCUGUACUGACGCUCAUGCACGAAAGCGUGGGGAGCAAACAGGAUUAGAUACCCUGGUAGUCCACGCCCUAAACGAUGUCAACUGGUUGUUGGGUCUUCACUGACUCAGUAACGAAGCUAACGCGUGAAGUUGACCGCCUGGGGAGUAC
rnacentral:rRNA from 1 species